rnacentral:misc_RNA from 1 species
GUGAUUGGCCUUAGUGCCUAAAAACUAUAUCCCUAACACCUGUGAACUGUUGAAUUGCGUCUUCGGAUGCGGUUCUUUUACAAACAUUGUGUAAUGAACGUCAUAACAUUAUAAACAAUA